CCUACGGGUGGCAGCAGUGGGGAAUAUUGGGCAAUGGGCGCAAGCCUGACCCAGCAACGCCGCGUGAAGGAAGAAGGCUUUCGGGUUGUAAACUCCUUUUAAGAGGGAAGAGCAGAAGACGGUACCUCGUGAAUAAGCCACGGCUAACUCCGUGCCAGCAGCCGCGGUAAUACGUAGGUGGCACGCGUUUUCCGGAAUUACUGGGUGUAAAGGGCGUGCAGCCGGGAAGACAAGGCAGAUGUGAAAUCCCGCGGCUUAAACGCGGAACUGCAUUUGAAACUGUUUUUCUUGAGUACCGGAGAGGUCAGCGGAAUGCCUGGUGUAGCGGUGAAAUGCGUAGAUAUCAGGAAGAACACCAGUGGCGAAGGCGGAUGACUGGACCGCAACUGACGGUGAGGCGCGAAAGCGUGGGGAGCAAACAGGAUUAGAUACCCGUGUAGUC
rnacentral:rRNA from 1 species